UACGGAGGGGGCAAGCGUUGUUCGGAAUUACUGGGCGUAAAGCGCACGUAGGCGGACUGGUCAGUUGGGGGUGAAAUCCCGAGGCUUAACCUCGGAACUGCCUUCAAUACUGCCAGUCUUGAGAUCGGAAGAGGUGAGUGGAAUUCCUAGUGUAGAGGUGAAAUUCGUAGAUAUUAGGAAGACACCAGUGGCGAAGGCGGCUCACUGGUCCGAUACUGACGCUGAGGUGCGAAAGCGUGGGGAGCGAACAGGAUUAGAUACCCCGGUAGUCC
rnacentral:rRNA from 1 species